CCUACGGGAGGCAGCAGUGAGGAAUAUUGGUCAAUGGACGAGAGUCUGAACCAGCCAAGUAGCGUGAAGGAUGACUGCCCUAUGGGUUGUAAACUUCUUUUAUAUGGGAAUAAAAUGUUCCACGUGUGGGAUUUUGUAUGUACCAUAUGAAUAAGGAUCGGCUAACUCCGUGCCAGCAGCCGCGGUAAUACGGAGGAUCCGAGCGUUAUCCGGAUUUUUUGGGUUUAAAGGGAGCGUAGGUGGAUUGUUAAGUCAGUUGUGAAAGUUUGCGGCUCAACCGUAAAAUUGCAGUUGAAACUGGCAGUCUUGAGUACAGUAGAGGUUGGCGGAAUUCGUGGUGUAGCGGUGAAAUGCUUAGAUAUCACGAAGAACUCCGAUUGCGAAGGCAGCUCACUGGACUGCAACUGACACUGAGGCUCGAAAGUGUGGGUAUCAAACAGGAUUAGAUACCCGAGUAGUC
rnacentral:rRNA from 1 species